UCUAUUCCUUCCUGUUUUACGCCGCCUCCAAAACAACCACCUCCACUGGCAUACUAAGCACACUGAUUUCUUCUCUAAAAGGUAUAUAAUGUGUCUUUCCAAGUGAAUGAUAUCAGCUUAUGAAACUCGUUGAUGAAUCUAUAAGCAACUUCUCGGGUGUCAGUUGAAUGGGACUCUUUUACCUGGUGGUGGGGAUCGGAUGAGACGGAUAAAGCUGAGACAUUGAAUCAGAAAGAACUGUUUGAAUUUGGUGGAUGGUUUGAUGGUUAGAUACAUAAGAUGCACAUCGGCCUUACUUUUAAUCUUUUUCAGAAUAUACGUGUGAGAAAGAGUGGUCACAAUCUACAAAUUUAGAAUGUAAUUUGCGAAUUUUGGAAUGUAGCUGAUGCAUGAUAAGGUACUAGUUAAUUUGUUAUAUAAUGGUAAAUGAAGUACGAUGAGUAAAAUCUUUUAUUUUUU